rnacentral:rRNA from 1 species
CGGCAACAGCUCAAAUUUGAAAUCUGGCUCUCGGGCCCGAGUUGUAAUUUGUAGAGGAUACUUUUGAUGCGGUGCCUUCCGAGUUCCCUGGAACGGGACGCCAUAGAGGGUGAGAACCCCG